GUCCGGUCAUAUUUUUAGUUUAAAAAAAAAAAUAAGACUAGAUUUCACUUAGAAGUCAACUUUUCCACUUUCUCGGCUCCCUCUACCACAGGCCCACACCCCCACAUGUGAGACUGAGGGGCAACUCUUGCCUUGGGUGAGCUCCUGCUUUCCUGACUACUCUGGCACCCACUGUUCCCAUGCGGUAACAGGGCUUGCCCAGUGCAGCAAAUAGAGCCGUUAACUGCCAUGAAGGCGCGAAGGGCAGCAUCUCCCAGGAUCUGCGACAUCCUUCCUUCAUACUGGAGUUGAGUCCUAUAAAUUAGACUCUCUGAUAAUAUUGGACUUCCUUGUUUCCUGAAAUUCUGCAGCCUUUGGUGCUAGCAGGACUUCGAUAAAGGACCAGCCUUCCCAAUAUGAUUUCAUAAGAUUCAGAGCGAUCCCUUGUUUAUCUGUGGAAGCGCCAGGCACAGACCCUCCCUUCCAGUUCUCUCUCUGGUGAAUUGUUAGUUCAGCUGUUUCCUGCUUUCUCUCCCAAACAAGGAUCUAGUUGAGCUGACCGACACAGACUUCCCCUGAACUGACUGACAUAGACUUCCCAGGGACAACUCAAUACCAGCUGUCGGGUCACUUUACUGACUCCUCACCCGAAAGGUUUAAAGGGAGGCCCCCUGAUGAGAGACUUUGACCUUCAUGCCAGGUCUUUGCCCAGAGUGUGACCCUGUCAUCUCAGAUGCCAUGUGCCACAGCACCGGGAAGAGAACGGGGCUGAAUGUUAACAAGAAAGUGGAAGGAAGCUCUGUCUGAAGAGAAACAGGAGGCCAGCACCAGCUGCACACCUGGGAUCCCAGCCCUCGGGGAGCUGGAGGGACAAGCAGAUGUGACAUUCAAGGUCAGCUUGGACUACCUGAGAUAAUUUAGCUCAUAAACAAAACCACGCAAACAAAAGAAAGCCACGUGGAGGCAGGAGGCUCCCCUAAGAAGCAGGAUUUAUGCAUAUCUCCUGCUCUGCUUGGCCUGGGAGCUUUCCCCACUUUGCCUACAGGCAUCCAGAUAAUGAGUUUGUGUUCCUUGUGUUAAGAGGCACAUCAGCUCCCUAUCAGACUGGCCUUCCCGGUGCUCUACUGAGCACAGAAGCACUUAUUGUUAUCUCUCACCAAUCUUGUACCCCUUGUAGACUUGCCAUUCCUUUCCAACUUCAAUAAGUUUCUCCUUAAAUAACCUUGUCUAAUUAAGUUCUCCUCCCCAACACCCCGCAUAAGUCCCAAUCUGUCUUACAGCCCUUCAGUCCUAAGACUCCAAUAAAGUUCUUUGUUCUUUACUGACU
rnacentral:lncRNA from 1 species